UCCCAGUAGGCAAUGAAGCGUGAAGCAGCGUGAUACCGGACUCUAGCGAAAUUAACAAUUUGCAGCCCUUGGAAUGCGGAGCGAGUUUUCACGGUGCAUUGGCGCACCUCAGCACUGUUAGAUUCUGAAUGAAUCUCAAAGUAAAAAUGACUGCACCCGUCGAGGCUCUCUCUAUUUCUUCCUUGGUCCGGGGGACUGCUACAGUAAUCCAGGAGCGACCAAGUGAAGAGAUUGUGUAGGACUGAAGCACACAGAUCUAUUCAAACACAUAUAAAAGAGGAAAAACUCCCCCACCCCCUUAUCCGACAUCUUCACGCCUUGGGCAAACAUGCUCUGUAACGUUCUUUUGGACACAUGCCAGUUGUACAACUGUAUGACUACCAUGGCUGCAUACCUUCCAUCCUCACAAGCUGUUUGUUUUUCUUUUUUUUCUAAAGAUGGCUUAGGUGCAACUAUUAUUGGCUGGAAACAGAGAGAUCAUGGUUUAGAAUAAAAUAUAUAAAGUUAAAGUCUGUUUCCUGUGCUUUCAAGCUGAGUGUCUAAAGACAACACAGCACUGCUUAGCUUUAGCUUCUAACAGCAGUUCAUCCAAACAGCUCACAUCUAUGGUCAUUUUCUGAGGCAGCGCACGGUUUUCUUAAAAGUCUUAGCCAUUGUGAAGCUAAUGCUAUUUUCAACUUUGGCCAUGUAGUCACAGCACAGAGCUGGGUGUGGGUCUUAGUGUUUUAUACUAUCUCAUGUGGUUCUGUGUAAUGCAAACUCAUAUGGAUUAUUUUAUGAAUUUCCUAAUGAUGCACAUGAAAAAUAAAUGGUCAUGAUGGACGUCAUUCCUGAGAUGGAAACCUCGCUGGAUUGUGUAAACCUUGUGUGUUAAAGUAGCACCCAGUUGCUAAUGUGCCAAUAUCAUAAGCUUUCAUAUUUUCAUGUCGGGUCUUGUUUAGACUUUUAUCUCUUUAUGGGACCGAGAGGAAAGCUGGGGCUGGGGGGUGUUCCAACUGGCUUACAGCUACAUUUUGUUUGUUGUCUUCUUGUAACAUGGAUAGAAAAAAGGAUUUUUUUUAACAAGAAAUCUUGCAAAGUGUUAAAUAUUCAUAAAUACAUUUUCUGGAAUUGGGAUUAUUUGGGGCUCCUGACCUCUAAAUGACUUGUUAGUGCAUUGGACCUGUUUCACUUGCUCAGCCUUCUUCAAAUCAAACAAAACUGAUGCCAAACGUUUGUGCUGUAAAAAGUUUUAUUUGUUCUGUUUUUGUUUUAGAGAUAUUAAUGUAAGAUUAAAGGUCAACCAGCCCCCCCCCCCCCCCCCACAUUAAUGAAAUCAAACAUGAUUGGUGCCACAUUUGUGCUGGUUUGUGCUGCAAAAAAAUUUGUUUGUGCUGGUAUCAUUUUAAAGAUAUUAAUAAAAGUUUCUAGAGUUCAUCUAAGGUCAACCAGCCCCUUUCAUUACUGUGAAAAGGUUGUGAAACACACAUCAGUAUUGGAUAUUUGUUUUAUCAUGAUCACACUCUUUAAAAGCAAACCACUAGAUUAACUUAUAAUAGUUAAAAUAAACUCUGCAUUCUGUCCAGGAAAUGAAACUUUAUUUGCAAAAUACAAAACUAUGGGAAUAUUUUAGCCAU
ensembl:lncRNA